rnacentral:lncRNA from 1 species
GGUGGAUAUAUGUGGAUGGUACUUCCGUAGUAGAAGUAGCAUAUAUGAAUGAACGUGCAAGUGAAUCUUGAUUUAACCACAUGACAAGCUCCUAAGGGUCUACACAGCUUGACCACACUCAAUGCUCAUAAGCAGUAAAUAUUAAAUGUGUGGCUCAAAGUCUAGCAAGCAUGUAUAUAUGGCUGUGGUAGGAAUUUAAACUCUCAUCAUACAGGAACUCAUCAUGCAACAUUUUAAAGAUUUUCAAAAAUAAAAUUCUCCAGAAUUCUAGCAUCUCUAGGAACAGAUAAACAGCAGCUCAACCUUCCCAUAUCAUAUCCGUUAACAACUUAGACUUCAGAUCAAGUUUUCAUCCCACAAGUUUAGGUCUAGAGCAAGCCUUAAAUUAUAACAGUUAUAUCUAAACUUGAGAGAGAACUUAAAAUGUGCAAAUUAGGCAGAGCAACUAUUCAUCACAUCCAUGCUUAAGUUUUAUUU